UUUGUAAUCAGGAUUUGUGGGCUUGAUUUGUUCAUCUAAUUUAUUCCUAUUCUUUCCUCCUCGUAUCCAUCCAACUCGUUACUUUGCUUUUAUCUCAUUCAGCCACCACUCUUUGUCGUUCUUCUUCGAGAGAUGAAUUCCCCACGCACCAGGCUUAAUGUUCCCACACUCUCCACUUACUACCGCAAGAAUGUGCUAAACAAAUUCUAAAAUUCUCCGUAAAGACGUUCCCAAACGUAAACAUAAACAUUCAUUCCUUCUCCUUCCUCCAUAUAUAUUCUCAGUCGCGGAAUAGUAGAAAUAUGCUAAAGUGGUAGCCUCAGCAUUUCGUGGUAUAAAAAUAAUUGCUACUCUGCCUCCUGCGUUGUUGAGAUAUUUGAGUGAGCCCUUGUUUUCUGUCAGCCAAUUACUCAACCACACUUCAAAUUCAAGGGUUGCAUUCUUGGAAUGGAUGGAUUCUCGUAUGACACUGCUAUGUAAAUUAACCCAAGGAAUGGAGGUGACGGUUCAUCUUGCAAGACCUCCAUCUAAAUAUGAUCUACGCGCAAUUCGAGCAUGGAGCUCAUCCCGACCGAAAGGAAAGGCAAAGCCAGUGAUCAUUUCCGAAAGAAGCAGCAUGUUAACUUAACUAAGAUUUGUUAACUUUCUCACGUUUUUAAUCAGAUCACAUCUCCCAUGACGGAGCAGUCGAGGAGAGAAAACGGAGAAGGAAGGAAGACUAAUAACCAAAUCCAAAUCCUGAUUCCGAAUUCAAGAGAUGCAAAAACAAGGAACUUGCUCUCUAGUCUCCAUUCAACCUGGUAGACGACUUCGAGAGAGGUCCACUCUUCUUCUCUAUAAUUUACCUCAAAGACCAACCAACCCCAGUCCAAUGGGUACAAAUUGCUCUGGUUGUUGGUCGGGUGAGUCAGGACAAGUUCUCGUAAUGUUAAUGUCCCCUAAUGAGAUGGACUGUGCAGCAGCCAGGCAAAUAAACCGGUGCGAGAUGAGAACGACGGGUGAGACGAGUCGCAGGAAUGAAUGGAUGGUUAUGAUCGAAUCUUUAUUCUGAUGUGGCUCGCUCGAGGACUGGAGCCGUUCUGAGAGUGCCGACGAGAUUUUGGAGGACUUGUACUACUCGGAUCUCUGCUGAAGAAAAGUGAGAUUCAGGAGAGA